UACAGAGGUCUCAAGCGUUGUUCGGAAUCACUGGGCGUAAAGGGUGCGUAGGUGGCGUGGUAAGUCAGAUGUGAAAGCCCGGGGCUCAACCCCGGAAUUGCAUCCGAUACUGCCAUGCUCGAGUACUGAAGAGGUGACUAGAAUUCUCGGUGUAGCAGUGAAAUGCGUAGAUAUCGAGAGGAAUACCAAAGGCGAAGGCAGGUCACUGGGCAGUUACUGACACUGAGGCACGAAGGCUAGGGGAGCAAACGGG
rnacentral:rRNA from 1 species